rnacentral:rRNA from 1 species
GACGAACGCUGGCGGCGUGCUUAACACAUGCAAGUCGAACGGAAAGGCCCUGCUUGCAGGGUACUCGAGUGGCGAACGGGUGAGUAACACGUGGGUGAUCUGCCCUGCACUUCGGGAUAAGCCUGGGAAACUGGGUUUAAUACCGGAUAGGAGCCAUUUUUAGUGUGAUGGUUGGAAAGUUUUUUCGGUGUAGGAUGAGCUCGCGGCCUAUCAGCUUGUUGGUGGGGUAAUGGCCUACCAAGGCGGCGACGGGUAGCCGGCCUGAGAGGGUGGACGGCCACAUUGGGACUGAGAUACGGCCCAGACUCCUACGGGAGGCAGCAGUGGGGAAUAUUGCACAAUGGGCGCAAGCCUGAUGCAGCGACGCCGCGUGGGGGAUGACGGCCUUCGGGUUGUAAACUCCUUUCGCUAGGGACGAAGCUUUUGUGACGGUACCUAGAUAAGAAGCACCGGCUAACUACGUG